rnacentral:rRNA from 1 species
GGGAAGAGUAGCUUGCUACAUUACCUAGCGGCGGACGGGUGAGUAAUGCUUAGGAAUCUGCCUAUUAGUGGGGGACAACAUCUCGAAAGGGAUGCUAAUACCGCAUACGUCCUACGGGAGAAAGCAGGGGACCUUCGGGCCUUGCGCUAAUAGAUGAGCCUAAGUCGGAUUAGCUAGUUGGUGGGGUAAAGGCCUACCAAGGCGACGAUCUGUAGCGGGUCUGAGAGGAUGAUCCGCCACACUGGGACUGAGACACGGCCCAGACUCCUACGGGAGGCAGCAGUGGGGAAUAUUGGACAAUGGGGGGAACCCUGAUCCAGCCAUGCCGCGUGUGUGAAGAAGGCCUUUUGGUUGUAAAGCACUUUAAGCGAGGAGGAGGCUACCGAGAUUAAUACUCUUGGAUAGUGGACGUUACUCGCAGAAUAAGCACCGGCUAACUCUGUGCCAGCAGCCGCGGUAAUACAGAGGGUGCAAGCGUUAAUCGGAUUUACUGGGCGUAAAGCGCGCGUAGGUGGCCAAUUAAGUCAAAUGUGAAAUCCCCGAGCUUAACUUGGGAAUUGCAUUCGAUACUGGUUGGCUAGAGUAUGGGAGAGGAUGGUAGAAUUCCAGGUGUAGCGGUGAAAUGCGUAGAGAUCUGGAGGAAUACCGAUGGCGAAGGCAGCCAUCUGGCCUAAUACUGACACUGAGGUGCGAAAGCAUGGGGGAGCAAACAGGAUUAGA